rnacentral:rRNA from 1 species
UACGUAGGGCGCAAGCGUUGUCCGGAAUUAUUGGGCGUAAAGAGCUCGUAGGCGGCUUGUCGCGUCGGAUGUGAAAGCCCGGGGCUUAACUCCGGGUCUGCAUUCGAUACGGGCAGGCUAGAGUUCGGUAGGGGAGACUGGAAUUCCUGGUGUAGCGGUGGAAUGCGCAGAUAUCAGGAGGAACACCGGUGGCGAAGGCGGGUCUCUGGGCAGUAACUGACGCUGAGGAGCGAAAGCGUGGGGAGCGAACAGG